UUCUUUCACAUUUGACUAAUGGGCUUUCUACAUUAAGCCAUUAUAUAAGCUUUAAGUUUUAAGCCGUAAGAAAUUGACCAAUUACAAUCCAACG